rnacentral:rRNA from 1 species
GAUGAACGCUGGCGGCGUGCCUAAUACAUGCAAGUCGAGCGAACAGACGAGGAGCUUGCUCCUCUGACGUUAGCGGCGGACGGGUGAGUAACACGUGGAUAACCUACCUAUAAGACUGGGAUAACUUCGGGAAACCGGAGCUAAUACCGGAUAAUAUAUUGAACCGCAUGGUUCAAUAGUGAAAGACGGUUUUGCUGUCACUUAUAGAUGGAUCCGCGCCGCAUUAGCUAGUUGGUAAGGUAACGGCUUACCAAGGCAACGAUGCGUAGCCGACCUGAGAGGGGGAUCGGCCACACUGGAACUGAGACACGGUCCAGACUCCUACGGGAGGCAGCAGUAGGGAAUCUUCCGCAAUGGGCGAAAGCCUGACGGAGCAACGCGCGUGAGUGAUGAAGGUCUUCGGAUCGUAAAACUCUGUUAUUAGGGAAGAACAAAUGUGUAAGUAACUAUGCACGUCUUGACGGUACCUAAUCAGAAAGCCACGGCUAACUACGUG